rnacentral:lncRNA from 1 species
AUGAUUCUGUCUGUGCAGAAAUCUGGGAGGCUCUGCCCAGCCUUCACCUUCCCUGUGUUAACUCAGCUACUGCAGUGCCCAGGGAACACCCAAGGUACAGUCACAGGGUUCUGUCAUUUUUGUUGCCAUUUAGAAGCUGCUUCUCAGUGUGGUGAAAGGAAACCCCAGGAAAUCGGUUCUCCUUUCCUUCUUUGUCGGGAAAGGUGUUCCCCCAAAAGCUGCAGGUGGAACAAGGGGAGCUGGAGAGGAGAAUGGUGUCAUCACCUGAGGGGAAACACAAAGCAGAAAGAAACGAGGAGGGGAAAUUUCGGUGCUUAUUUUUAGACUCCGUGGUGUAUGCCUGUCGGUCUUUUUGUGUGUUUUUCCAUGUGGAUGGUAAAAGUAGACGGG